AUUGCACGCUAGCGGGAUGCUUUACACAUGCAAGUCGAACGAGUGGCGGACGGGUGAGUAAUAUAUCGGAACGUGCCCAGUAGCGGGGGAUAACUACUCGAAAGAGUGGCUAAUACCGCAUACCAUUGGAGCGUCAGGUCUCGGAUUAGCUAGUGGGUGGGGUAAAGGCUCACAAAGGCAACGAUCCGUAGCUGGUUUGAGAGGACGACCAGCCACACGGGGACUGGGACAGGGCCCAGGCGCCUACGGGAGGCACCAGUGGGGAAUUGGGGACAAGGGGGGAAACCCUGAUCCAGCCAUCCCGCGUGUAUGAGAAGGCCUUCGGGGGGUAAAGUACUUUUGGGAGAGAAGCGGUAUCUGCAGAAUAAGCACCGGCUAACUACGUGCCAGCAGCCGCGGUAAUUC
rnacentral:rRNA from 1 species